AUUGAACGCUGGCGGCAGGCCUAACACAUGCAAGUCGAGCGAGUGGCGGUCGGGUGAGUAAUGUCUGGGACACUGCCCGAUGGAGGGGGAUAACUACUGGAAACGGUAGCUUAUACCGCAUACCCUCGGAUGUGCCCAGAUGGGAUUAGCGAGUAGGUGGGGGAACGGCUCACCUAGGCGACGAUCCCUAGCUGGUCUGAUAGGAUGACCAGCCAAACUGGAACUGAGACACGGGCCAGACUCCUACGGGAGGCAGCAGUGGGGAAUAUUGCACAAUGGGCGCAAGCCUGAUGCAGCCAUGCCGCGUGUAUGAAGAAGGCCUUAGGGUUGUAAAGUACUUUCAGCGGGGAGGCGUUACCCGCAGAAGAAGCACCGGCUAACUCCGUGCCAGCCGCCGCGGUAAUAC
rnacentral:rRNA from 1 species